GAUGAACGCUGGCGGCGUGCCUAAUACAUGCAAGUCGAGCGAACAGACGAGGAGCUUGCUCCUCUGACGUUAGCGGCGGACGGGUGAGUAACACGUGGAUAACCUACCUAUAAGACUGGGAUAACUUCGGGACACCGGAGCUAAUACCGGAUAAUAUAUUGAACCGCAUGGUUCAAUAGUGAAAUACGGUUUUGCUGUCACUUCUAGCUGGAUCCGCGCCGCAUUAGCUAGUUGGUAAGGUAACGGCUUACCAAGGCAACGAUGCGUAGCCGACCUGAGAGGGGGAUCGGCCACACGGGAACGGAGACACGGUCCAGACUCCUACGGGAGGCAGCAGUAGGGAAUCUUCCGCAAUGGGCGAAAGCCUGACGGAGCAACGCCGCGUGAGUGAUGAAGGUCUUCGGAUCGUAAAACUCUGUUAUGAGGGAAGAACAAAUGUGUAAGUAACUAUGCACGUCUUGACGGUACCUAAUCAGAAAGCCACGGCUAACUACGUG
rnacentral:rRNA from 1 species